GAGUACCACGGGGCACGAGGAACCUUGUGGGAAGCAGGGGGGACCACCCUCCAAGGCGAAAUACUGAUAUGGACCGAUAGCGCAAAGUACCGUGAGGGAACGGUGAAAAGAACCCCGGGAGGGGAAUGAAAGAGAACCUGAAACCGUAUGUCUACAAGCAGUCGAAGCACGAUGCAGGUGCGACGGCGUGCCUAUUGAAGAAUGAACCGGCGAGUUAUUUUUUUCGGCGAGGUUAAGCGGCAGACGCGGAGCCGAAGCGAAAGCGAGUCUGAAGAGGGCGCGCAGUCGAAAGGAAUAGACCCGAAACCACAGUGAUCUAUCCAUGCCCAGGUUGAAGCACAGGUAAAAAUGUGUGGAGGACCGAACCAGUGAGCGUUGAAAAGCUUUUGGAUGAGGUGUGGAUAGGGGUGAAAUGCCAAUCGAACGUGGAGAUAGCUGGUUCUCCCCGAAAUAGCUUUAGGGCUAGCCUCAUGAAAAGAGUACAGGCGGUAGAGCACUGAACAGGGAAGGGGCCGAGCGGUUACCGAACCUAAUCAAACUACGAAUGGCUGUACUUAUGCAUGGGAGUCAGACUGCGAGUGAUAAGACCCGCAGUCAAGAGGGAAACAGCCCAGACCAACAGCUAAGGUCCCGAAUGCCGUACUAAGUGGCAAAGGAGGUGGCGUUUCGAAAACAACCAGGAUGUUGGCUCAGAAGCAGCCAUCAUUAAAAGAGUGCGUAAUAGCUCACUGGUCGAGAGACGCGGCGCCGAAGAUGACCGGGGCUGAAGUACGGAACCGAAGCUUUGGCAUGUAUGGAGACAUACAUGGGUAGGGGAGCGUUCCUGCGUGGGAGAAGCCUGACCGGAAGGACAGGUGGACAGGCAGGAAGCGAGAAUGCCGGUAUGAGUAGCGAAAAGAAAGGUGGGAAUCCUUUCCACCGAAAGCCUAAGGGUUCCUGGGCAACGAUCGUCGACCCAGGGUAAGUCGGGGCCUAAUCCGAGGCGCAGACGCAUAGGAGAUGGACAACAGGUUGAAAUUCCUGUACCGACACCGUCCGAUAGAGCGAGGGAGUGACACAAGAAGGAACGUUCGCAUGCGAAUGGAAGAGCAUGUCCAAGCCGGUAGGUGGCGUAUCAGGCAAAUCCGGUACGCCGAAAGCCGAGAGGUGAUGGGGAGGCUGUAGGGAUACAGAGGAAGGAACGGGGACUCAAUUGUCAAGAAAAGCUUCUAGCGAGGACGGUGGCGCCCGUACCGAAACCGACACAGGUAGGCAGGACGAGAAUUCUAAGGUGCGCGGGAAACCCCUCGUUAAGGAACUCGGCAAAAUGUAUCCGUAACUUCGGGAAAAGGAUAACCCAGAGUAGGUGAAGGAUAGAAACGGCCGGAGCCGAAAUGGGUGGCACAAGAGAGGCCCAAGCGACUGUUUAGCACAAACACAGGCGUCUGCGAAAGAGAAAUCUGAAGUAUAGAUGCUGACACCUGCCCGGUGCUGGAAGGUUAAGAGGACGUGUGAGCCGCAAGGCGAAGCAGAGAAUUGAAGCCCCAGUAAACGGCGGCCGUAACUAUAACGGUCCUAAGGUAGCGAAAUUCCUUGUCGGGUAAGUUCCGACCCGCACGAAAGGUGUAACGAUUUGGGCACUGUCUCAACGAGGGACCCGGUGAAAUUGAAGUACCUGUGAAGAUGCAGGUUACCCGCGACUGGACAGAAAGACCCCAUGGAGCUUUACUGCAACCUGAGAUGGGAUUUGGGUAUAAGACGUACAGGAUAGUUGGGAGGCGCGGAAGUGAGGACGGCAGUUUUCACGGAGCCGACGGUGGGAUACCAACCUUGUUGUACUGAAAUUCUAACGAGAGCCGUAACGAGGCUUCGGACAGUCUCAGGCGGGCAGUUUGACUGGGGCGGUCGCCUCCGAAAGAGCAACGGAGGCGCCCAAAGGUUCCCUCAGCGCGGACGGAAACCGCGCGCAGAGUGUAAAGGCAGAAGGGAGCUUGACUGCGAGACGGACAGGUCGAGCAGGGACGAAAGUCGGGCUUAGUGAUCCGGUGGUGCCGAGUGGAAGGGCCAUCGCUCAACGGAUAAAAGCUACCCUGGGGAUAACAGGCUAAUCUCUCCCAAGAGUCCAUAUCGACGGGGAGGUUUGGCACCUCGAUGUCGGCUCAUCACAUCCUGGGGCUG
rnacentral:rRNA from 1 species